AUACAGAGGGUGCGAGCGUUAAUCGGAAUUACUGGGCGUAAAGCGCACGUAGGCGGCUUGGUUAGUCGAAUGUGAAAUCCCUGGGCUCAACCUGGGAAUUGCAUCCGAAACUGCCAAGCUAGAGUGUGGGAGAGGGAAGUGGAAUUCCGGGUGUAGCGGUGAAAUGCGUAGAUAUCCGGAGGAACACCAGUGGCGAAGGCGACUUCCUGGCCCAACACUGACGCUCAGGUUCGAAAGCGUGGGGAGCAAACAGGAUUAGAAACCCCGGUAGUCC
rnacentral:rRNA from 1 species